rnacentral:rRNA from 1 species
CUACGGGGGGCUCCAGUGAGGAAUAUUGCACAAUGGGGGGAACCCUGAUGCAGCAACGCCGCGUGGAGGAUGACGCAUUUCGGUGUGUAAACUCCUUUUAUAUGUCAAGAAAAUGACGGUAGCAUAUGAAUAAGCACCGGCUAACUCCGUGCCAGCAGCCGCGGUAAUACGGAGGGUGCAAGCGUUACUCGGAAUCACUGGGCGUAAAGGACGCGUAGGCGGGUUGGAAAGUCAGGUGUGAAAUCCUACAGCUUAACUGUACAACUGCACUUGAAACUUCUAAUCUAGAGUAUGGGAGGGGGAGAUGGAAUUAGUGGUGUAGGGGUAAAAUCCGUAGAUAUCUCUAGGAAUACCUAAAGCGAAGGCGAUCUCCUGGAACAUUACUGACGCUAAGGCGUGAAAGCGUGGGGAGCAAACAGGAUUAGAUACCCCAGUAGUC